rnacentral:rRNA from 1 species
UUAAGCGACUAAGCGUACACGGUGGAUGCCCUGGCAGUCAGAGGCGAUGAAGGACGUGCUAAUCUGCGAUAAGCGUCGGUAAGGUGAUAUGAACCGUUAUAACCGGCGAUUUCCGAAUGGGGAAACCCAGUGUGAUUCGUCACACUAUCAUUAACUGAAUCCAUAGGUUAAUGAGGCGAACCGGGGGAACUGAAACAUCUAAGUACCCCGAGGAAAAGAAAUCAACCGAGAUUCCCCCAGUAGCGGCGAGCGAACGGGGAGCAGCCCAGAGCCUGAAUCAGUGUGUGUGUUAGUGGAAGCGUCUGGAAAGGCGCGCGAUACAGGGUGACAGCCCCGUACACAAAAAUGCACAUACUGUGAGCUCGAUGAGUAGGGCGGGACACGUGGUAUCCUGUCUGAAUAUGGGGGGACCAUCCUCCAAGGCUAAAUACUCCUGACUGACCGAUAGUGAACCAGUACCGUGAGGGAAAGGCGAAAAGAACCCCGGCGAGGGGAGUGAAAAAGAACCUGAAACCGUGUACGUACAAGCAGUGGGAGCACAGAGCAAUCUGUGUGACUGCGUACCUUUUGUAUAAUGGGUCAGCGACUUAUAUUCUGUAGCGAGGUUAACCGAAUAGGGGAGCCGAAGGGAAACCGAGUCUUAACUGGGCGUUAAGUUGCAGGGUAUAGACCCGAAACCCGGUGAUCUAGCCAUGGGCAGGUUGAAGGUUGGGUAACACUAACUGGAGGACCGAACCGACUAAUGUUGAAAAAUUAGCGGAUGACUUGUGGCUGGGGGUGAAAGGCCAAUCAAACCGGGAGAUAGCUGGUUCUCCCCGAAAGCUAUUUAGGUAGCGCCUCGUGAAUUCAUCUCCGGGGGUAGAGCACUGUUUCGGCAAGGGGGUCAUCCCGACUUACCAACCCGAUGCAAACUGCGAAUACCGGAGAAUGUUAUCACGGGAGACACACGGCGGGUGCUAACGUCCGUCGUGAAGAGGGAAACAACCCAGACCGCCAGCUAAGGUCCCAAAGUCAUGGUUAAGUGGGAAACGAUGUGGGAAGGCCCAGACAGCCAGGAUGUUGGCUUAGAAGCAGCCAUCAUUUAAAGAAAGCGUAAUAGCUCACUGGUCGAGUCGGCCUGCGCGGAAGAUGUAACGGGGCUAAACCAUGCACCGAAGCUGCGGCAGCGACGCUUAUGCGUUGUUGGGUAGGGGAGCGUUCUGUAAGCCUGUGAAGGUGUACUGUGAGGUAUGCUGGAGGUAUCAGAAGUGCGAAUGCUGACAUAAGUAACGAUAAAGCGGGUAGAAAGCCCGCUCGCCGGAAGACCGAAGGGUUCCUGUCCAACGUUAAUCGGGGCAGGGUGAGUCGACCCCUAAGGCGAGGCCGAAAGGCGUAGUCGAUGGGAAACAGGUUAAUAUUCCUGUACUUGGUGUUACUGCGAAGGGGGGACGGAGAAGGCUAUGUUGGCCGGGCGACGGUUGUCCCGGUUUAAGCGUGUAGGCUGGUUUUCCAGGCAAAUCCGGAAAAUCAAGGCUGAGGCGUGAUGACGAGGCACUACGGUGCUGAAGCAACAAAUGCCCUGCUUCCAGGAAAAGCCUCUAAGCAUCAGGUAACAUCAAAUCGUACCCCAAACCGACACAGGUGGUCAGGUAGAGAAUACCAAGGCGCUUGAGAGAACUCGGGUGAAGGAACUAGGCAAAAUGGUGCCGUAACUUCGGGAGAAGGCACGCUGAUAUGUAGGUGAAGCGACUUGCUCGUGGAGCUGAAAUCAGUCGAAGAUACCAGCUGGCUGCAACUGUUUAUUAAAAACACAGCACUGUGCAAACACGAAAGUGGACGUAUACGGUGUGACGCCUGCCCGGUGCCGGAAGGUUAAUUGAUGGGGUCAGCGCAAGCGAAGCUCUUGAUCGAAGCCCCGGUAAACGGCGGCCGUAACUAUAACGGUCCUAAGGUAGCGAAAUUCCUUGUCGGGUAAGUUCCGACCUGCACGAAUGGCGUAAUGAUGGCCAGGCUGUCUCCACCCGAGACUCAGUGAAAUUGAACUCGCUGUGAAGAUGCAGUGUACCCGCGGCAAGACGGAAAGACCCCGUGAACCUUUACUAUAGCUUGACACUGAACAUUGAGCCUUGAUGUGUAGGAUAGGUGGGAGGCUUUGAAGUGUGGACGCCAGUCUGCAUGGAGCCGACCUUGAAAUACCACCCUUUAAUGUUUGAUGUUCUAACGUUGACCCAUAAUCCGGGUUGCGGACAGUGUCUGGUGGGUAGUUUGACUGGGGCGGUCUCCUCCUAAAGAGUAACGGAGGAGCACGAAGGUUGGCUAAUCCUGGUCGGACAUCAGGAGGUUAGUGCAAUGGCAUAAGCCAGCUUGACUGCGAGCGUGACGGCGCGAGCAGGUGCGAAAGCAGGUCAUAGUGAUCCGGUGGUUCUGAAUGGAAGGGCCAUCGCUCAACGGAUAAAAGGUACUCCGGGGAUAACAGGCUGAUACCGCCCAAGAGUUCAUAUCGACGGCGGUGUUUGGCACCUCGAUGUCGGCUCAUCACAUCCUGGGGCUGAAGUAGGUCCCAAGGGUAUGGCUGUUCGCCAUUUAAAGUGGUACGCGAGCUGGGUUUAGAACGUCGUGAGACAGUUCGGUCCCUAUCUGCCGUGGGCGCUGGAGAAUUGAGGGGGGCUGCUCCUAGUACGAGAGGACCGGAGUGGACGCAUCACUGGUGUUCGGGUUGUCAUGCCAAUGGCACUGCCCGGUAGCUAAAUGCGGAAGAGAUAAGUGCUGAAAGCAUCUAAGCACGAAACUUGCCCCGAGAUGAGUUCUCCCUGACUCCUUGAGAGUCCUGAAGGAACGUUGAAGACGACGACGUUGAUAGGCCGGGUGUGUAAGCGCAGCGAUGCGUUGAGCUAACCGGUACUAAUGAACCGUGAGGCUUAACCUU